GACAGAGGUGCCGAGCGUUAGGCGGAAUCACUGGGCUUAAAGCGUGUGUAGGCGGACCCGUAAGUACCUUGUGAAAUCCCACGGCUCAACCGUGGAACGGCUGGGUAUACUGCGGGUCUGAGCGGCCUAGGGGCAGACGGAACAAGUGGUGGAGCGGUGAAAUGCGUAGAUAUCACUUGGAACGCCGACGGUGAAAACAGUCUGCUGGGGGCCUGCUGACGCUGAGACACGAAAGCCAGGGGAGCGAACGGG
rnacentral:rRNA from 1 species